GGUACAGGACGUUGCCCUGGCCCAGGUGUGUCCCUCACCUGUCCCAGGUGUGUCACUCACCCAGCCCGUGGUACAGGACGUUGCCCUGGCCCAGGUGUGUCCCUCACCUGUCCCCAGGUGUGUCCCAGGUGUGUCCCUCACCUGUCCCAGGUGUGUCACUCACCCAGCCCGUGGUACAGGACGUUGCCCUGGCCCAGGUGUGUCCCAGGUGUGUCCCAGGUGUGUCCCAGGUGUGUCCCUCACCUGUCCCAGGUGUGUCCC